AUGUCGCAUUUUUGGUGGGGUGACGAAGACAAUCAGAAGAGAAUGCAUUGGAUGGCAUGGUGGAAGAUGUGUGUACCAAAAUACCAAGGAGGAAUGGAUUUUCAAGACAUACAUUGUUUCAAUCUGGCCUUGUUAGCCAAACAAGCGUGGCGCCUGCUUGAUAACCCUGAUUCACUAUGUGCCACAAUUUUGAGAGCUAAAUAUUUUCUAGAUGGAGAUUUAAUGAAUGCGAGUCUGAAAAAAGGAUCCUCUUUCACGUGGCAAAGCAUUAUGGCCAGAGUGGAUUCUCUCAAAAAAGGUUAUAUUAGAGUUGGUAAUGGAUAG
rnacentral:rRNA from 1 species